rnacentral:rRNA from 1 species
UGGGGGAUAUUGCACAAUGGGGGGAACCCUGAUGCAGCGACGCCGCGUGGGUGAAGGAGCGUUUCGGCGCGUAAAGCCCUAUCGGCAGGGAAGAAGGAGGACGGUACCUGACUAAGAAGCCCCGGCUAAUUACGUGCC